GCCACUAGUCCACAGGAAAGCGGCUGAUCGAGCUCUGAAGAGAGGCGCUGCUGGUGGAGCUCUUGGUGGCACCAGCGCUGGUAGCGACAGUGUGCAUCACAAUCAGGGUGACUGAAGAGGCAGGGCAGCACUGUGACAGCAGUGUGUCCUGAGGCCGAUCAGCAGGAGGAACGAGCACAGGGCCCCUUCACAGUAUGCAGCUGUACAGCAGGAAGGACAGGUCCAGUUCUUUGAAAUGCAAGACAGACUGACCUGGAGGGCAUGUUUGUUCCCCUGUGCUGUGCGUGGGAAAUUCGGAGGGAGUAAGACCUGCUGUCCACCCAGCGCCUGUCUUGUCUACAAGCACCAGGCGCAAAGCAGAGAAAGUAGCAGGGGAGCCUCAAAAACCUGUCUUCAAGGAAGGAAGAGAGAUCACAGAGCUGGCAUGCUGGUUUGAAGGAGGCUGGGGGGAGUGAUGUAUGUAUGCACAUGUGUUUGAUUUACUAGCUGCCUUACUGGUUUACUAAAAAACUA